rnacentral:lncRNA from 1 species
UGAUCGUCCCCCCUCCUGUUUUGUCUCGGCUGUGGCAGCGUCCGUUUUCCGACGAAAAUACCGUUGAUCCUCCAUCUUAAUAAACUUGUUCAUUUUUUCUUGCAGCUCCUCCAUGGUUUUAGGCAACUUGGCAUACAGGGAUUCUGAGACGUAACCCGGCUUUAGGCAGUUGGGUAAAUUAGUGAUAAUGAACUCAUGACUUACCCCCUUUACUCUUCUUGCUACUUCAGUAUAUCGGUGCAUGAACUUUCUUAGUGGCUCGUCUUUCUCCUGUCUGAGAUUGACGAG